UACGUAGGGUGCAAGCGUUGUCCGGAAUUAUUGGGCGUAAAGAGCUCGUAGGCGGCUUGUCGCGUCGGAUGUGAAAGCCCGGGGCUUAACCCCGGGUCUGCAUUCGAUACGGGCAGGCUAGAGUGUGGUAGGGGAGAUCGGAAUUCCUGGUGUAGCGGUGAAAUGCGCAGAUAUCAGGAGGAACACCGGUGGCGAAGGCGGAUCUCUGGGCCAUUACUGACGCUGAGGCGCGAAAGCCAGGGGAGCAAACGGG
rnacentral:rRNA from 1 species